AUGACCCAAUUUCUUUGCAUUCAUUUUUGUUGGGUUUGCUUUCUUUUCACCUUCAUUCUGUACUUUUGUGCUUUUGUACUGACUUUGCAUACUCUGAAUCCUAGUAUUUUGUAUGCACUAGCAACUUCACACUUAGAUAAUUAUUCUUGUGGUCACACUGAAGCUGUUAUUUCACCAUUACAAGUUGUACUGAUUGUCACCGUACUUUGUGAGCCGUGCUGUCGUCAUGUUGUAGCGAUUUUUCCUGAGAACGAUGAACUACCAUCUGUUUUCCAAUUGAUCUUCAGAUCUUCUCGAAUAUUUUAUGUUUACGGAGGUACUGCCGCAUCUUAG
rnacentral:rRNA from 1 species